UACCUAAUCCAGCCAUACCACAAUGACAGUCCUAAGCCUGUUAAAUGGAGAAGGGGUA
rnacentral:ribozyme from 2 species